rnacentral:misc_RNA from 1 species
GGGAAGUCUCAGUCUGCCAAAUCAAUCGGUUCCAGUUCAACAUGCACAACCACCCCUUUGCUCGCUUUCGGAAACAGCCUCAGGGAUGCCUUGGAAGUAUAUGUCUUGUUCAUGCUCAUUGGCUAGAGCAGUUUUCGCAAUAGAUCAACAUUGUAAUCCUCUUUUGCUGAUGUCUCAAAGUAAGGAAUGUUUCCUUUAGAAGCACACCACUCCUUUGCUUUCUUCUCAGAAACCACUCGACUAUUUCCACCAUCAAUGUCAAUCUUGUUUCCAAGCAAUAUAAAUGGAAACGUCUUGGGAUCAGGUGGGUUUGCCUGUUUAAGAAAUUCCUCGUGCCAGUUGUCAAGAGUGUCAAAAGAUCUCAUCACAUUAACAUCAUAAACCAGAACGCAGCAAUCUGCCCCUCUAUAGAAUGCAACUCCAAGACUCUGAAAUCUCUCUUGCCCAGCUGUGUCCCAUAUUUGCAGGGUGACGAGCCUGUCAUCAAUUUGGAGUUCUUUGGUCACAAAAUCAGCACCAAUUGUAGCUUUAUACUGCUGACUAAACUUCUUAUGCACAUAUUGAUUCAUCAAAGAAGUCUUGCCAACCCCGCUGUCCCCGAGAACGAUCACCUUGAGCAAGGUACGCCUCCGCA